CUCCGACACCGGCAGAGGUUAAGGCAGGAGUCACCUUGGAAUUAAAUACUGCUCUGCCCCUCACAGCUGUGUAGUCUUGUGGACGAGAUUUAACUUUUCUGAAACUUGACCCUCCUCCACAUUCAUCCACCCACAGGGUCGUGAGUGGGUAAGUUCAUGUAAGUUGAAGCCCCCAUUUUAAUAGAGCAUUGAUUGUACCACGCCCCUUGCUGAUACACCCCUACUUUGGGCGGAGGAUGUAGUUGGAGUGCACAGAGUCCUUGGUUUGGUCCCCAGCACUAACUGAAAUGGGUGCAGUGUGUGCUUAUAACCCCAGCACUCAGGAGGUAGAGGUGGGGAAAUCACCUCCUGCUGAGCUGCCUAGCGAGUUCAAGGCCAUCCUGGGCUACUUGUCCAGACUGGGCUACACGUCCAGACUGGGCUACAUGAGGCUCUUUCUCUAAAUCAAUCAAAAAUAAAAUAAUAAAAGUUUAUGCUGGACCAGAGGGGGCUCCAGUGGCUCCAUCCUGUGGUGUUGAAGAUUAAAGGAGGUUUCUGCAGAGCAUCGAGUCACCAGUGUCUCUGCGUUGAUAAUAACGAUGCUGAGUUCUGUACCUGAUGGUAAGUCUCAGGUACCUGGCAUCUAAAUGCAGUGGCUUUCCCAGUAUGUGGGACAGAGAACACCCUGCUGCCUCCCCUUUCCUGGAGCACAGAGUCUGCCAUGGAGUAGAUUUAAUGGGAUACACGCAGGGGAUUUUACAUUUGGUGGUGGAGGACCAGCAGGAUAAAAAUCCCCCCACUCCCAGGUUUACAGGGAAUUAGUGCUUGGCAACUGAAGCAUUAUUAUUAUUUUUUGUUCACCUCUCUUGUCUGGAAUGGAUCUGUCCUGUCUUGUUUAUUGGUUUCUUCCUAGGUCUAGGACAGCGUUAGUCCCAUCAUUGUAGUUCAAGUGUCACUCAGUGAUGGGUGAGUUACUGAAACAGUCUAAGUAUGAAGUGGACUCCACACAGCCUCACUCACCGAAAGAGGUCAUGACAGGGGCUAGGGAGCAGCUGGGUGAGUAAAGUGCAUGCUAUACACGUAUGAAGACCACUUACAUGUGGGAACAUGACCUUUGCCUAUGAUACUGGGAGCUGAAAUAGCAAGUUACUGUUCUGGUGAGUGUGAUGGCUAAUCUUGCUAGUCAACUUGACUACAUCUGGAAUCGACUAAAACCCAAACAACUGGGUACAGCCCUGGGACUUGAUUGGAUCAUCUGAGGCCAGAAGGCCCACCCUAAAUGCACACACACCCCUCCAUUUAGGUGGAGCUUAAAAAAAAAAGACAUGAAAGAAAGAAGUCUUUUGCCUUUUGCCUGUUUGCCCUCACUCUCGCUGGCAAGGUCAUCUACCCUGCUGCUGAGCAUUCCUUCGCUGGUGUUAGGACCUACUUCUCCAUAUACACAGACCACCUGAGAUAUCCAGCAUCAUAGACUGAACAACUACUAGAUUCUUGACCUUUCCGUUGGGAGACAGUGAUUGUUGGAUGGACCAGAACACAGCUGUGUUAGUCAGGGUUCUCUAGAGCAACACAACUUAUAGAAAGAAUCUCUUCAUAUAUAGACAGGAUAUUUAUUAGAAUGAUAUGCAGGCUGUCCAACAGUGGUUGCCUAUGAACCAAAGGUCCAAGAAUUUAGUAGUCAUUCAGUUAAUGAGGCUGGAUAAAGUAUGCUCUAAUGCUAUUGGAGGAAUGGACUUACUAGUGUGAGCAAGAGCAAGCAGGCAAAGAGCAAAAACCUCUUUCUUCCACAUCCCUAUAUAGGCUUUCAACAGGAAGCAUGACUCAGAUUAGAAUUGGAGGAUUCCUCAUUCAAAACAUCUGGAUUAAAGGCAUGUCUUCAUACCUCAACAUCUGAAUUAAAAUUGGAUCUUUCCACUUCAAAGUGUUGCAAGCUGCCCAGGAGCCUAGGGACUGAGCUUUCUCUUGGACUCUGAAGCCCAGCUCUGGCGGACCCAGUGCAAUGUCCAGACAACUGCACACGAGCAGGAGACUGCUGUUGUCAUGUGACCAGCUGCUUCAUGCUCCUGCCACUAUGACAGACUGAAUCCAAAGGUGUUUGUGAAAACUGUCUGCCAAUGUGAAUUCCCACGGUGGGCUUCUGAAGCAUUGUGUUCAUGUGGACACAGGUGUUUCUACAAAGCCCUCUUUGUUCCUGAAGACAUUCUGGGUGAGUCCGAAUCAGAGGGGCUAAUGGGCUGGCUGAGUGGGCAUCUUCUAGUUUCCUGAGCUCAGCUUGUCCAAAGCCUGUGUAUCAUAACAAAUAAAAUCCCCUGGUCCAGAGUCCCCAAACUCUAUCUUCUCUCCACCAGGCCCUUGACAUACCUGAAAGCCCUCCCUGUGCUUGGGGCUUAGAAACUUACCAUUUGAGACUACUGGGGAUUUUCCCCUAGUAAAGCUUAACAUCAGUACACACUCCUAUGAGCCCCUACUAGGAUUUGGUCUAGAGCCUGAGAUUGGACUCUUCUCCGAGACCCUGGCAUCUGCUACGAUUCUUUUUCCUCUCAUUGCACCUACUGGUCUACCGGCACCUGGCGUUGGCAUCUUUUGGCCGGUGACUCACUGUGAAGACAUCGAUAGCCUUUCAUCCCUACGUGGGGUGGAUAAGUCCGUCCCCCCCCCCCCCCCAGGAAGGAUGACACCAACAGCCUUGCCUUGCCAAAUAGUUGGCUGCUCUUGGUAUAUAAACAGCCUUCUUCUCCAGAGCGGAAGGACUGCCAUUCCUCAGGUGUGUGUGUGUCAGACAGAGUCCCUGUUGUGGAAGAAUUGUUUGUAUAGACAUUCUACUGUGCUCAUAAAGCCUCCUUGAAACAAAGGACGGAGUCAAUGAUUGGGUAACCGGGAUUAGCCAUAGAGUUCUUGGAAGACUGAGGAGGUCUGCUAGAGAGGUCAGGAAGAGAGAAGAAGGAUUUCUGGAGCUGAUGGUUUGGGAAAAACAUGGAGAGAGGGUCAGCCAAUCAACUGUUUGCUGUCCUUGGAUUUAUCAAGUCUUUAUCUCAAUUUCUAACUCUCGAGUUUUUAUUAAACUGGAACAAUUUAGGUAAGUCGUUACAAGUCCCAAAGUUUCCGGUGGGAUCUCACUCUAGUCUCCAGUAGCUGGGCUGGCAACACUGGGGGGACACGAGCCCACUUGAGCAUGUGGCUCCGGUUGGCCUUGCCCUUCUCCCCCCUUCCCUCUGCCUUGCUGAACACGGUUGGGUUACACUCGCAAAGCUAACCACCAAGGUCUAGUCCCUUACUUGUCUACUUUCUCCUCCUGAGGCUGACUACCAAAGUCCACCAAUCAAAAGUCCCCUUCGGCUCACCUAAUUAACAUGCUCAUCCUAACACGGGGUUUCCCCAUUUACCUUUAUAAACUUCCAUUUGCCUACGAGCCAACUUAGUCUCCCCUCUCUGCAGAGGCAGUCCUUCGUCUCUCCAGGACAAAGACCUCUGCUCCCUCUCCCUUGUUCCUUCCCCCUUUCCCUCAUCCCCUAUCUCCAUUACCACCACAUUCUAGCCCAUCCCAACACAGGGGGAUUUUUUCCUUUUCUCCUCUUAAAAAUUACACCUGCAAGGUCAUUUGCUGCUGUUUUCUGCCUGAGUCAGAAAGCAGCCACGCUGACUUUUCUCGCCGCUUAAUAAAGGAUCUCUCUGUGAAAAUAGGUGUUUGGGUGUGAUUUGUGCCUAAUCCAGGGUGUGGGAGGGAGUCCCUGCUUUUCAGAUGGUCCCCAUAAAACACCCGUUAUUGACUGUCUCUUUCCCCAGACACAAUACCUGCCCUCAAAUGCUUGUUUCCCAGUCUACCUCCGGGGAAUCCAGAGCCAGGCAGAUGUUAGACACCUGUUCAGUGCUGCAGACCCUUUCUCUGCCUUAGAUCCACUCCCUUCCUCUUUUUCUCCAGCUCUGGGUUACCUGUGACUUGUCUUAAAAGAGUAUGUCAAGAAUGAU